AAUGGAUUAAUCCUCUUUAGG
rnacentral:tRNA from 1 species